CCCUUAGAUGUUCUGGGCUGCACGCGCGCUACACUGAAGCUAUCAACACGUUUUCCCUCCCUGAGAAGGGCGGGUAACCUUUUGAAUCAGCUUCGUGGUAGGGAUCGGGGCUUGCAAUUGUUCCCCGUGAACCGGGAAUUCCUAGUAGACGCGAGUCAUAAGCUCGCAUCGAUUAAGUCCCUGCCCUUUGUACACACCGCCCGUCGCUACUACCGAUUGAAUGUUUUAGUGAGGCAUUUGGACCGACGCAUCUCAGUUUAACCGCUGGUUUGUGUUGGAAAGACUUCCAAACUUGAGCGUUUAGAGGAAGUAAAAGUCGUAACA
rnacentral:rRNA from 1 species